rnacentral:rRNA from 1 species
UACGGGGGGGGCAAGCGUUGUUCGGAAUUACUGGGCGUAAAGGGCUCGUAGGUGGCCAACUAAGUCGGACGUGAAAUCCCUCAGCUUAACUGGGGAACUGCGUCCGAUACUGGAUGGCUUGAGUUUGGGAGAGGGAUGCGGAAUUCUAGGUGUAGCGGUGAAAUGCGUAGAUAUCUGGAGGAACACCGGUGGCGAAGGCGGCAUCCUGGACCAACACUGACACUGAGGAGCGAAAGCCAGGGGAGCAAACGGG